rnacentral:lncRNA from 1 species
AAAGUGGAUUUUGCACAACUGCAUCAUUUAUAAUGGGGGUGAGUGGCUUAGAUUACUCCUAAGAAAGAGUAUGCUGUGUAUGUGUUGCACAAAUUCCUGUCCUUCAUGAAAAAUCAGACUCUUAAUUCAUAUUGAGAAUACUUGCGUAUAGAUUGUGCUAAUAUAUGUGAAUAGGAGGCAGUGAUCAAGUUCAUUUUAAGGUAUGAGCUGACAUCUAAAGUGGCUCGCAGCCUGAAUUUGACAAAUGUGUAACCACAAGAUCCAGAACAUUCCUAUCAGCCUGUUGGAGUCUCAUACAUGCCAUUUUCUAGGAAACCCACUCUCAACAGGAACCACUUUCUGCUUUGUGUUAGGAUAGAUUAAUUUUGCUUCUUGUAGAAUUUCAUAUAAAUGGAGUCAGAGUUAGUGUUCUUGUGUGUCUGGCUGCUCU